AGUAGGGCGGGACACGUGGUAUCCUGUCUGAAUAUGGGGGGACCAUCCUCCAAGGCUAAAUACUCCUGACUGACCGAUAGUGAACCAGUACCGUGAGGGAAAGGCGAAAAGAACCCCGGCGAGGGGAGUGAAAAAGAACCUGAAACCGUGUACGUACAAGCAGUGGGAGCCUCUUUUAUGGGGUGACUGCGUACCUUUUGUAUAAUGGGUCAGCGACUUAUAUUCUGUAGCAAGGUUAACCGCAUAGGGGAGCCGAAGGGAAACCGAGUCUUAACUGGGCGUUAAGUUGCAGGGUAUAGACCCGAAACCCGGUGAUCUAGCCAUGGGCAGGUUGAAGGUUGGGUAACACUAACUGGAGGACCGAACCGACUAAUGUUGAAAAAUUAGCGGAUGACCUGUGGCUGGGGGUGAAAGGCCAAUCAAACCGGGAGAUAGCUGGUUCUCCCCGAAAGCU
rnacentral:rRNA from 1 species